rnacentral:rRNA from 1 species
CAGUAGCCGCGGUAAUACGAGGGGGGCAAGCGUUGUUCGGAAUUAUUGGGCGUAAAGGGUGCGUAGGCGGUUUGAUAAGUCAUCUGUGAAAUCUCUGGGCUCAACCCAGAGUCUGCAGGCGAAACUGUCGGGCUUGAAUAUGGGAGAGGUGAGUGGAAUUUCCGGUGUAGCGGUGAAAUGCGUAGAUAUCGGAAGGAACACCUGUGGCGAAAGCGGCUCACUGGACCAUAACUGACGCUGAUGCACGAAAGCUAGGGGAGCAAACAGGAUUAGAUACCCCCGUAGUCCCUGUCUCUUAUAC